UCUCUUACAAUCCCCACUAACCUCUCCAAAUCCCUUUUGAAGCCAAAGAUAAACUCCCAACUCACCCCCAAAGUUUCACGAUCAUUGGUGGUAUGCUCCACCGACAAGACUUCAUCGCCACCAUCAUCAGCUUCACCACUCCAAGCCUUCUCAGCAGCUCUUGCUCUUUCUUCCAUUCUUCUCUCAGCCCCGCAGCCUGCCGUAGCUGAUAUUGCAGGCCUCACACCAUGCAAAGAGUCCAAGCAAUUCGCCAAACGUGAGAAGCAGCAGAUCAAGAAGCUGGAAUCGUCGUUGAAGCUAUACGCCCCUGACAGCGCUCCAGCUCUCGCUAUCAAAGCAACCAUCGAGAAAACCGAGAGACGGUUUGACAACUAUGGGAAGUACGGGCUGUUGUGUGGGUCUGAUGGGUUGCCUCAUUUGAUAGUGAGCGGUGAUCAGAGGCACUGGGGUGAGUUCAUCACGCCUGGUCUCUUGUUCUUGUACAUCGCUGGAUGGAUCGGGUGGGUUGGAAGGAGCUACCUCAUUGCUAUUAGCGAUGAUAAGAAGCCUGCCAUGAAGGAGAUCAUCAUUGACGUGCCUUUGGCUACCGGUCUUAUCUUUAGAGGCUUUAUUUGGCCUGUCGCUGCUUACAGAGAGCUUAUCAAUGGUGACCUUGUUGUCAAGGACGUUUAAUCUCCUCAGGUCCUUCUUCUCUUUCUCUUCAAAAAAAUUCCCCUUUUUUUUUGUUUUUUUUAUACAGUAAUUCAAGCAUGUUUUUGCCUUAUAGUGUAAGGGUUAACAUGUGUUGGCCAUAUUCCAUCUAAUUAUGUUGAACCUUACUAUUCUAAAGUAGUAAAUUAGUAAUCUGAAAUAGUGUCAUAAAACCUUGCAAUCUUAUAUUCCGAAUCCAAUUUUCCAACCCAAAAUUCGGUAUUUCAUUUAUUAAUCAUGUUAGCAACAAUUUUUUUAUUUAAAAAAUAUCACAUUAAACUUCAAUUAUUGAAUCAAAUAAUAGAUUCUUGAGAUUAAAAGUAGAAGUAGUAAUUUCAAAUGUGUAGAAGGUAAAGGGAUCGAGAGUAAAUUAUACCACCAUACAUCUAAGCUUAUAUGAUUAUAACUCGUCUUAUUGUCGUUGUAAUAUUCUAAAUUUUAAAAGGAAGGGUGAAAUUAAUGAAGAAAGGAAAUAGAAGAACAUACAAAUUGCCUUCAUUUUCUUGGUGUAUUAAUUUUGGUUUUUAUUUUUAC
rnacentral:lncRNA from 1 species